ACAUUUACCCCGUAGGGGAGAUGCCGUGGUGGUGAAGGUGGUCUUCCCAGAACAAGGUUUGCUCAUUACACUCCAAGAUGUUCCCACAUGUGGGAAAGUCCACACUCAUC
rnacentral:snRNA from 1 species